rnacentral:rRNA from 1 species
AAUGGGCGAAAGCCUGACGCAGCAACGCCGCGUGAGUGAUGAAGGCCUUCGGGUCGUAAAGCUCUGUCGGGAGGGAAGAAGUGAUUGAGGGUUAAUACCCCUUGAUCGUGACGGUACCUCCGAAGGAAGCACCGGCUAACUCCGUGCCAGCAGCCACGGUAAUACGGAGGGUGCAAGCGUUGUUCGGAAUUAUUGGGCGUAAAGGGCGCGUAGGCGGUCUUGUAAGCCCGGCGUGACAACCGGGAGCUCAACUCCGGGCCUGCGCUGGGAACUGCGGGACUAGAGUCAUGGAAGGGAAGUUGGAAUUCCAGGUGUAGGGGUGAAAUCUGUAGAUAUCUGGAAGAACACCGGUGGCGAAGGCGAACUUCUGGCCAAUGACUGACGCUGAGGCGCGAAGGUGCGGGGAGCAAA